rnacentral:rRNA from 1 species
UACAGAGGGGGCAAGCGUUGUUCGGAAUUACUGGGCGUAAAGGGCGCGUAGGCGGCCUCUUAAGUCGAACGUGAAAUCCCCGGGCUCAACCCGGGAACUGCGUCCGAUACUGGGAGGCUUGAAUCCGGGAGAGGGAUGUGGAAUUCCAGGUGUAGCGGUGAAAUGCGUAGAUAUCUGGAGGAACACCGGUGGCGAAGGCGGCAUCCUGGACCGGUAUUGACGCUGAGACGCGAAAGCGUGGGGAGCGAACAGG